AUGAGUAUGGGGGCGCUGAUUGGAAGCCGUUUGUGGAAGCAAGGGUGCACAUACAUACAUACACGACUCAUAUAUCUUUGCCGACGCAUUCCCAGAGGAUACAUUUUUCGAGAAAAAAUGCACAGUGUUGCUCGGGAGAACCUCCAGGCGUAUCUUCAUUCCUACAAGCUGUCUUCAAAUGAGGUACUACUCAACUUUGGAAGCUUCUAACUCAGUUGUUUCAGAACCCGGUAUAAAACUAAUGCACAAUUCUCAACGGGAUGAUCAACACCGGAAGGAUGUGGAGCAUUUUGCAGCUCUUAGAGCAUUACAGCAUUCAAAGAGAAAACACGUGGCGUUUGCGGUGCAAGCCAUGCGGGAUUACGAUGGGAGUCUUGACGAGAAAAGCCCGCUAAAGGAUCAUACAAUAUCGUUUAAUACCAAUGAUUUUAUUCAUAUUCACACGAAAUUCAACUCGGAUUGGUGGAUCGGUCGAAUCGUCAGGUCUCACAGCGAAUUCGGAUUCGUGCCGACCGCCCGUCGCCUGGCAAACUACAUGGUGUCCGAUGAGGAUCCCCCAGUGAAACACAACACUUCAGACCAUCAAGACAGAAGUAUCUGGGAGCCCAAAUGUCCCUAUAAAGUGGUACCUUCAAGUCGGCCAAUUGUACUUCUAGGUCCAACUCUACAACAUUCAAGGCUCACUCAGUUAUUGCAUUUGGCGCUGAGAGAGGAGAUUUUAAAGCAUUUCGGGAAAAAUAUGAAGUACGUAAAGUCAGAUAUCGGAAGUGGUCAACAAUCAGGAGAUCGGAAAGGAGCAAGAUGGCUUCGAGGACUUAGAGACUAUGAUCGAGGACAGGAUGAGAAUCAAGAGGUGGAAUUGAUUAUGAGAAUGACAUCGAAACUACACUUGUUACUGGUUGACUCACCACAUAUUCAUACUCCUGAUGAUGUUCAACAUUUGCCAUUAUCGCCUAUCUUUUUUCUUAUCAGAGUUUCUGAUAAUAAGAUUCUAGCCAAACUGCUCCGCAACACGGGAACAACACGGAUGGCUGCUGAAAUAGAAGUGGCAAAUGUUCUGAAAACAAUGAACGACGACAGAGUAGGUGGUCACGACGAUGAGCAGCUCAUCGCGCGAGGAUUCGAAAUGGUGAUUGAAGAAAACGGAUUACGUGAAGCUACUCGACGAAUCAUAUCCUAUUUGGAAAAAUAUAUUCAUGCACUGCACUAUCAUCAUAAGGAUGAUGAGAUUUAA
rnacentral:misc_RNA from 1 species